AACUUUCAGCAAUGGACGUCUUGGCUCACGCAUCGAUGAAGGACGCAGGUAGAUGCGAAACGCAUUGUAAAUUGCAGAUUUUAGUGAACCAUCAGAUUUCUGAACGCAUAUGGCGCUUCCGUAGCACCUCUGUUUCAGUGUCU
rnacentral:rRNA from 1 species